CCUACUCAACAGUACGAACCGGAAAAACCAGCCCACCCUCCGGUUCCUCCUCCUCUCUCCUACAUCUCCCACACGCGCAGAACCAUCUAGGGCAAAAACCACAUGCGCACAUGCCACAGUCGUCGCCGCCGCCGCCCCUACCCCAUCCUAUCCCCCAGCCCUCCAUCUCCAUCCAAGUCCUCUGUUCCGUGCCAGGGGCCUCCCGCGGUCUGAUGCAUCAACAUGGGAUGAGUUGUGGCGAUGGUGACGGCGGCCGGCAUGCUGUCGGGCUACCUGGUGGGGGCGGCAGUGCUUCACCGCAAAGGCGGGGCGCGCGGCCUGUGCUUGCGACAGCCGCUGAUAGUAGAACAGCAGACCUACAAUGGGUAACCAUCUGCAAGAUCAGCAUGAUCGUUCACAUAAUGGUGGAUAUCGCGAGAUUCAAUAUCAAGUUGCAUACUUGCAUAUACUGUAGUGAACCACAAACAUGACUGGGAGAGGAGGGGAAGAAGAGGAUGCAUCCUGAAGACAGGUCGAGAAGCUUGCGGAGGCAGGAAGAUCGGGUACAAGGUGAGAAUCUCUAUAAACCCAUGUUCGCCGUUGUCUUGGCAGGCCCUGCCCUUCACUGCUCCAUUGCCAGAGCCUCCAUCAUCCUAGAUCAAGCCGUUCCAUGACAAACAUAUCCCUUGCCACUGAAUGCUACAGUUUGCGGUACACUUACAAUUCCAAAUGAUAGGGUACAUGUUCUCGAUAUAUAUAAUUCAGAUCUCUGUGUUCUGUCAAUCUUACUAAGAUGUUUUGUAUCCUUACAGGAUAUCACAAUUGCAAGUAAGAGUUGAAGUAAACCAUGUUCUAGCAGAUAAAAGUCUACAUAAGCUGGAAUGAUGUUGUUAUUCCGAUCUUGGUUUUGUUUCUGCAGGCUUGAGGAAUUAACUCCUUGGUGUACAUAUAGGCAAGGGAUGUAGUUAGUUGUCUUCCAAAUUCUGACGGUUACUCUGGUUUCAAGGCUUGUUCAGUGUGGCAUGGUGCUCCUAAGUCCUGCAAUGGAUGCACAUGUAUCAUUCUGUAUUGGGUACGUUCUUGGCAUCUGGUUGUGCUUUUGCUCUAUGAUUGCGGAGAAUUUAAAAUUAAUUAUUUGAGACUUUGUUUCUAUAUCAUCUUCUAGAUAUCCAGAGUGAAUUGCCCCGUUGACAAGCGGAUCCACUAAAUUGGUGCACUGGAUAAUAAUUUCCAAGGCAAUACCAAUAUGAGCAUAAGGACCAUCAAAUGUAUCACGUAUGAUUUGUUCAACGAAUACUGUAAUAUCCUCCCCAUAGAAAUGACUAUCAGAGGAUUCAUGUUGCAUUGCUUCUAGACGGCAUGUCGGACCAAUUGUUGAGAUUUAUGUGAAUAACCAUUCUGGUAAGAAGUUCGCGCAGAGUGUGACAAAAGGGUUGGGUCAAAAUAAAGUACACGUAUUACUAAAAUCCAUCCCUCUCAUCUCAUGCAUGCAUAACCAGGCCGAUGGUAAUUUGUCUACUACUCUACUUACUGCAGUUCACGAUAAUUUGUCUACUACAUUACUUAAGCUUGAGGGUGAAGUAGAUGAUAAGUUGCAUUAUUUACCAAGUUUAUCUUGGUCAUAAGCCUGAGAUUUGCAUACACCAUAGAAGCCAUAGAAAUCUUUGAGAUGAACAGUCAAUGGCUUAUAUUGUUGGUGCAGGAGGGCGAGGCAGUGGCAAAGGUAUUGAGUAUGUUUAGAUCUUGAACCAUUUUGGGCUUGCCCAUCUGAGUGUUGGUGAUCUUCUUUGCGAAGAAGUCAAAUCCGAGCAAGGUUAACAAUCUGCUCUCAGUUUCUGUAUAGAUAUCUUUCUAAUGUCAGCCUGUUUCAGGUAGUACAAUGAUCAAGAAUCUCAUGCAUGAAGGAAAUCUUGCACCUUUUGAGAUCAUCAUCAGGCUACUGCUAUACCACAAUACCCACCACUAAGUUCGGCUGUUCCAUUUCGCUACAGGAAUUUUCAACUAAUGCAGCUGAUGCGUUACUAUAUUGAUAACUGAGCUUGCAUAGCAACACUUCAGACCAAUCCAUGAAAGUGUUCCCUUAUCCCUUUGAUACAUUUUAUUGUCUUACUAAUUAAUGUUGCAAGGAAUAUUCAGAGGUAUUUGGUUAUCCUCGUCCCCUCCCGCUCUCAAACCAAACGAGUCGAAUCCCUAGGAAAAUUGGCUAUCCCCAGCCCAUCCAAAGAUAGCCAGUGAACCAAACGCCACCUAAAGAGUAUACUCUCUUCAUCUCUUGUAGCAUGGUGGCCUAGAGCUAGAGGUCCUUGAGCCUAAAAUAAAAUGGCAUGCAUGAAAAACGGCCUAGAGAUAGAGGAAUUUAUAAGAAUGAGGGGUACCCUAUCCCACCUGCACGGUUGAUUAGGUCGUCGACCCGUGAGGGACAACGACCUUACUUUCAUAUGUAAUAUGUGCUUUUUUGAGCUAUGAAUAUUAGAUGGGGAAGGGUUGAAAUAUUUUAUGCACCCAUGGUUCCUAAAGGGUAUGAAAUAUGUGUUUUUUGCAGUAGUUCCUAAAUGGUCACCUCCAAGUGCCUUUUCAUAUGUAAUAAUUUGCCAUGCAAUUGCAUAAUGCAAUCAAGGCAAUGCUUGUAGUAUCUUGGAAACAUUUUUUUGAGGGAACAAAAUCCUCCAUGU